rnacentral:rRNA from 1 species
UACGGGGGGGGCAAGCGUUGUUCGGAAUUACUGGGCGUAAAGGGCUCGUAGGUGGCCAACUAAGUCGGACGUGAAAUCCCUCGGCUUAACCGGGGAACUGCGUCUGAUACUGGAUGGCUUGAGUUCGGGAGAGGGAUGCGGAAUUCCAGGUGUAGCGGUGAAAUGCGUAGAUAUCUGGAGGAACACCGGUGGCGAAGGCGGCAGCCUGGACCGACACUGACGCUGAGGAGCGAAAGCCAGGGGAGCAAACGGG